UACGAAGGGGGCUAGCGUUGCUCGGAAUCACUGGGCGUAAAGCGCACGUAGGCGGAUUGUUAAGUCAGGGGUGAAAUCCUGGAGCUCAACUCCAGAACUGCCUUUGAUACUGGCGAUCUCGAGUCCGGGAGAGGUGAGUGGAACUCCGAGUGUAGAGGUGAAAUUCGUAGAUAUUCGGAAGAACACCAGUGGCGAAGGCGGCUCACUGGCCCGGCACUGACGCUGAGGUGCGAAAGCGUGGGGAGCAAACAGG
rnacentral:rRNA from 1 species